CUGCAACUCAAGAAAAUGAUGCCAUAUAAUUUUAUCAACAGAACACUUUCUGGCUCACAGGACAUCUGUGUUUAUUGUGAUCAUGGUUUUAGAUCUUUAGAGCUCAAAGGCAUUAGAAACAUGCCAGAAAUCUUUCAGUCACAGCAAAGCUGUUUCCUUUAGAAAAUCACCCAGUAUUUAAAUGCUUGUUUGGAAAGCUCUGUAUAAAUCAUGAGCUACUUUUUCAGUUCUCUUGAACAUUUUAACAUUCAACUCUAAGAAGCCCAUUUAACAGAACUUCAAAAAACUUAAAAUGGAUUUACCUAUAUUUUUAUAAGAAGAAACAAAUGUAUAGACUCUGAAUCAUGCAGUGUUUCUCAGCAGGGGUACUAAUGGCCUUAGCAGUAUGUUUAGCAUGGCUGGUUUCUUGUGCUUAAUGUCAAUGGAACCCCUUCCAAGUCUUUAUGACAAUCAAACUGUCCCCUUCCCUGCACAUACACAUAUUCAACUGCCCUCAGUGGGCAGUAUUGCCCUGACUUGAGAGCACAACUGCCUUACUUACUGAAAAGAAACCUGAGAUCCAGAAAGAAGGGAUAUGCCCAAGGACCUACACCAGGUUUCCAGACUGAAAAGAAAGAGAGCACCAAACUACCUGAGUACUAGGGGAUGACUGAAAGGUUACAUGGAAGGUGAGGAAAACUAGGAAACAUAUCAGGGGUGGCCCAGCCAGGCCUAAUGGAGAAGCAUAGCACGCUGCUCUCAGUUGCAUACUGAGCACAUGUGAGCCCUCCAGGGACCCGGCCACCAUGUCAUCUUUCCCAGGGGCUUGGGGCACUGGUGCCUCCUCUGACAUCACCCCCUGCCUCUUUUUUCUGGUUUUGCUUCCCCUCGAACUGUUUCCUUAUUGCCUCUGCCUCUUUUAUCCUCUUUCUGUUUUACAUUCACACUCUCCUCAAGAAAAUACUAACGGGCUCAUUGGGCAUGGCCAAUAUAAAGCAUAACUUUAAGGCCGAGUUUUCUUGCCCAGCUACCCCACUGGUGCUAUUCAAAGCUGGUUGCUUUGGGAAGACUGGAGCUCAACUUCUCACCUAAAAACAACAAAGUUUACAACCAAAUGCUGAGCAAUCUUCACCCAAAUGCACCGGAAACUUUCAAAAAGAUAUCCUACUCCAGAAGACAAAGAGGAGGCCACAUCAAGAGGCAGGAGGGGCGAUCGAGCGAUAUACGUGAUAUAAGCAACCUCAUACCUCCCGGGUGGGAAGCCCCACAGACUGGAAAGUAACUGUUUCACAGAGACUCACCUACAUGAGUGAGAGUUCUGAACCCCACAUCAAACUCCCACGUAAGGGGAUCUGGCACUGGGAGAAAGAGCCCCUGGAGCAUCUGACAUUGAAGGCCAGUGGGGUUUGUGCGCAGGAGCUCCACAGGACUUGGGGAAACAGAGACCCCAUUCUUAAUAGGCUCACACAGACUUUCAUGUGCACUGGGUCCCAGGGCAAAGCAAAGUCUCCAUAGGAAUCUGGGUCAAACCUGACUGCAGUUCUUAGAGGUCCUACUGAGAAAACAAGGGUGAUUGUGGCUUGUGGUGGGGGAAGGACAUCAGAAGCAAAGCCCUUGGGAAUAUUCAGCAGCAUGCCUUUCUCUGGAGGUGGCCAUUUUGGGAAAAUCUGGCCCCACCCAUCAGUGCUGAGAAGCCCCAGGCCAACUAAUAAUCCAGGUGGGAUCACAGUCCCACCCAUCAGUAAACAGGCUGCCUAAAGACCCCUCAGGCACACAGCCACCUCUAAUCUCACCCAGAGACAAAGCCCCACACACCAGAGGGACAGGAAUCAGCUCCACCUACCAGUGGGCAGGCAUCAGCCCCUCCCAUCAGGAAGCCUACAGCAAGCCCCCAUACCGACUUCAGCCACAAGGGGGGCAGACACUGGAAAUAAGAGAGGCUACAACUCUAUUAUCUGUAAAAAGGUCACCACACCAAAAACCUAUAAAAAUGAAAAGACAGAGAACUAUAACUCAGAUGAGGGAGAAAGAAAAAAAAAAACCAUAAAAACAGCUAAGUGAUCAGGAGAUUCUCAGCCUCCAGGAAAAAGACUUUAGACUGUUGAUGCUGAAGAUGAUGCAAGACACUGGAAAUAAACUGGAGGCAAAGAUGGAUAAUAUACAGGAAACACUGAGCAAAGAGAUACAAGAUAUAAAACUUAAGAAGAGAUGCAAAAUACAAUAACUGAAACAAAGCUGGGGUUUGAAAGUCAGCUCCAACCUGUGGCUGCUAUGCAACUUCAGCAGUCUGUGCAUCAGUUUGCAAUCAUAAAUUGAAAAAUUGAUUGUACAUACCUCAAAAGAUGUACGUGUGUGUGGAGGGCUGCAGCAUAUACAAGGUAUUAAAACUAGAGAGUCCUUAGUAAGCAUUUGAUGAAACUAGCAGUUGUUUUCAUUGCUGCUCUUAUUAUCAGCAAGGAGAAGAUGGAUGAUGAUGAUGAUGAUGAAAGCAGAAAGUUAGAACUUGUAUCUCCUGAACCCUCUCACUCCCCACUAACAGAGCCUUUUCAGACUUUUCCCCUCAAGUAUCUCUACUGGCUAAAGGCAGGGCAGAUGCAGACCCCAGGAGAAAAGGGAAGCAAGGUUCUAAAUGUCCUAGUGCAAGUCUGAUAUUUCUUGGAAAUCACUUGCUUUAUCUUUGCUUUAUAUUUUGUUUCACAUUAUCACUUAUACAGUAUGAAUAGAUUUAACCUGCUUGGUUUUUUGUUUGUUUGUUUGUUUGUUUGUUUGGGUUUUUUUAGGCCACACCCAUAGCAUAUGGAAAUUCCCAGGCUAGUGGUAGAAUCGGAGCUGCAGCUGCCAGCCUACACAGCCACAAUGACACCAGAUCUGAGCCACAUCUGUGACCUACAUCACAGCUCACAGCAACACUGGAUCCUUAACCCACUAAGCGAGGCCAGGGAUCAAACCCACAUCCUCAUGGAUACUAGUCAGGUUUUUACCCCACGGAGCCACAAGGGGAAUUCCUCAACCUACUUUUCAAUAUGCUAUUCCUUAAUAUAGCCAUGCUUUUUCUAAUACAAAACGUUUUAACUUAUUUACCAGAUCAGUCUAAACGUUUAGUUUUUGUCCAAAAGAUCUCUAAGAAAAAUUAAUGCCGCAGGGAGUUUCUUUCCAAGUACAUGCCUAGGGGUAUACAUAUCUCAUUCUCUGUCACCAUAAUCCUCAUGCCUUUGUGACUGGAGGUUUUCCUUCCAAAAAGAUCAAACAGAAAGACACGCAGUCAGUCAUUAAAUUGUCAAAAAUUUAUAAAACUUAAUUUUGUGGAAGACAUGUAACAAUUACCACAGAGGAUUCAACCACACACUACCCUAAUCUCUAGGAGUUUAUCAUGUAAAGCCAUGCUGCUGGUGGCUUCUGGAUGGAACUUACAUCUCGGCCUUCCCUAGCUGGUGAGAAGGGAUGUAAACCCAUCUGUGCCCAAAUCUCAGUGGCUCCAAGUCCCCUUCUCCCUACUCGGCCAUAGAACACACUUUCUUUUACAUAGUCCCCUCUAGGAAUGCCCAAGCUCCAUACAGGUAUCCACAAAGUAGUCCCAUUAGUCCCUUGCUGCUGGUGGUGGUCAAGUCACAGCUCAGUCUUAGGAUCCAACAAAUUCUAAUCCUGCACCCAGCAAGGUGCCAGCAGGGCUGAGGUGCCCCUAUACCCUAUACCUGUGUUCUCGUAAAGAAUCUACUUUUAUUUUUGCUCAUUUUGGGCCCCCCAGCAAGCUCACUUACCCAAAUACCACAUACUGAAUGAUACCCAUUCUUUUGCCACCUGAGCCAGGAUGCUCCCUCCAGCCUCUAGACUUCCACAGAGGCGAUGCCUGAGUAAUACCUUAUUCUCACACCUGUCACUACUGUCACCACUGCCCGGAUGUGGACAGAGCAGGAAACCUUCCUUGGCAGGUGAACAGGCUAUGGCCACCCUGAGACUGAUAGAAUUUGAAGAUGGGGGCUGCAGCCUAAGGCCAGACAUCCAAGUCAUCACUCAGGAGAAGGCAUCUAAGUAGGCAUUCCACUGCAAGGCUGCUUUUACACUAAAGUGUUACAGCCUUUCCUGUGCACAUAGAGCCCCACACCUCACAGCACGUGAUGUGAACAGGUAACUCCUACCACAUUUCCUGUAACUUGGUUUUGAUUAUGGCUGUAUAUUUCCAAACCCCAGUCAAAUAAGGAUAAAAUCUUUACCCUGAAAAAUCAGUGACUACAAAGAGCUUUAUGGACCCCUUCCAGGUCCAUGGAUGUGUGUGUACUCUCACCUCAGUGCCCUUCCUGUGAUAUUCCUUCUACCUGUCUUACCUUUUCCUUUAGCCUUCCUCAGCCCAUUCACUCUGAGUAAUUCUUCCUAUUUUGUUUUGUUUUGUUUUUUCUAGGGCCGCUCCCUUGGUAUAUGGAGGUUCCCAGGCUAAGGGUCUAAUCGGAACUGUAGAUGCCAGCCUACACCAGAGCCACAGCAACACGGGAUCCGAGCCGCAUCUGCAACCUAUGCCAUAGCUCACGGCAACACCAAAUCCUUAACCCACUAAGCAAGGUCAGGGACUGAACCCGCAAUCUCAUGGUUCCUAGUCUGAGUCGUUAACCACUGUGCCACGAUGGGAACUCCC
ensembl:lncRNA